rnacentral:rRNA from 1 species
AUAUAUAUAUACAGAGUUUGAUCAUGGCUUAGAUUGAACGCUGGCGGCAGGCUUAACACAUGCAAGUCGAGCGGUAACAGGAAUAGCUUGCUAUUUGCUGACGAGCGGCGGACGGGUGAGUAAUGCUUGGGAAUAUGCCUUAUGGUGGGGGACAACAGUUGGAAACGACUGCUAAUACCGCAUAAUGUCUACGGACCAAAGGGGGGGAUCUUCGGACCUCUCGCCAUUUGAUUAGCCCAAGUGAGAUUAGCUAGUUGGUAAGGUAAUGGCUUACCAAGGCGACGAUCUCUAGCUGGUUUGAGAGGAUGAUCAGCCACACUGGGACUGAGACACGGCCCAGACUCCUACGGGAGGCAGCAGUGGGGAAUAUUGCACAAUGGGGGGAACCCUGAUGCAGCCAUGCCGCGUGUGUGAAGAAGGCCUUCGGGUUGUAAAGCACUUUCAGUUGUGAGGAAAGGUGUGUAGUUAAUAGCUGCAUACUGUGACGUUAACAACAGAAGAAGCACCGGCUAACUUCGUGCCAGCAGCCGCGGUAAUACGAGGGGUGCAAGCGUUAAUCGGAAUUACUGGGCGUAAAGCGUUCGUAGGCGGUUGAAUAAGCAAGAUGUGAAAGCCCAGGGCUCAACCUUGGAACUGCAUUUUGAACUGUUCGACUAGAGUACUGUAGAGGGGGGUAGAAUUUCA